GGAACGGUGGCAGAGUGGACAAAUGCGCGCGCCUUGAAAGCGUGAGGGUGCAAGCCCCGGGGGUUCGAAUCCCUCCCGUUCCGCCA
rnacentral:tRNA from 3 species